rnacentral:misc_RNA from 1 species
GAAAUGCGAUAAGUAAUGUGAAUUGCAGAAUUCCGUGAAUCAUCAAAUCUUUGAACGCACAUUGCGCUCGUUGGUUAUCCGACGAGCAUGUCUGUUUGAGAACCAGUUUAAUCAUCAUUUCCUGGGAUUCCGGGGAGUGGAUCUGGGACUCGUUGCUUUUAGCCUUGGCUUUUAGCAAGAGACCUUAAUGGCAUCUGUAGCCUGGGUUCAUUGACACUCUACCAAAGGCAUGAUUAAUGAACACCUUGUUCUUUAGUGCUGCAUGGGAGUUUGCUAAUGCGCUUUUGGAGACACAUUAACACGACGGGGAACCGUUAAGACUUGGUCUCAAAUCAGACAAGACUACCCGCUGAACUUAA